CACUCCUACGGGAGGCAGCAGUGGGGAAUAUUGGACAAUGGGCGCAAGCCUGAUCCAGCCAUGCCGCGUGAGUGAUGAAGGCCCUAGGGUUGUAAAGCUCUUUCACCGGUGAAGAUAAUGACGGUAACCGGAGAAGAAGCCCCGGCUAACUUCGUGCCAGCAGCCGCGGUAAUACGAAGGGGGCUAGCGUUGUUCGGAUUUACUGGGCGUAAAGCGCACGUAGGCGGACUAUUAAGUCAGGGGUGAAAUCCCGGGGCUCAACCCCGGAACUGCCUUUGAUACUGGUAGUCUUGAGUUCGAGAGAGGUGAGUGGAAUUCCGAGUGUAGAGGUGAAAUUCGUAGAUAUUCGGAGGAACACCAGUGGCGAAGGCGGCUCACUGGCUCGAUACUGACGCUGAGGUGCGAAAGCGUGGGGAGCAAACAGGAUUAGAAACCCGUGUAGUCCCAUGA
rnacentral:rRNA from 1 species